rnacentral:tRNA from 1 species
GGGCGAUUAGCUCAGUUGGUUAGAGCGUUGCGUUCACAUCGCAAAUGUCGGAGGUUCGAGUCCUCUAUCGCCCACCA